ACCCUGCGUCUAUUUUUCGCGCGUUUUGCUCUUGCAACUCGCGGCCAUCAGCCAACACGGUGGUUUGGCAAAUGUUUUGCCUUUUUUUUCGUCGUGAAAACCAAGAAAGAUCGACACACUAUAAUAUAAAGAUGUACAAACGAUGGAUAGAAGGAUAAACAAUGGAAUUUGAAAGAAGGUGAAUCUCACUUACAAGAUAGACUCCGAGAAAGCUACCAGCUUAGAAGCAUGAUGCUAGGGCAGGAUUUAUGUAAGGCAAUUGUAUUAAUGCAGCUCAGCAAAAAUUAACACAACCUGAGUAACAAACAGAUAGAUAAUAAUUUUACAAAUGAAAAUUUUCUAAAAAAACUGAACCAGAAUAAUAUAAUAAACUAAAGUAGUAAAAAAUUUUGAAAACAAGUUCUAGAGCUUAUUUUAUUCAUUCCUUCACGAAGUGGGCUGAAACAAAUGUGCCAAUCCGGUCGCCUAGUCCAUGGAAUGUUGGUAAAAAUAGGGUUUCUUUUUUUUUGCACACAAAUAUCAUGCUUAAUGUACCGUGAACCCCCUAAUAAUUUAAUAUGGGGAUCUAGUGUGUCUAUGGUUCUCUACAAGGAGGGUCAGUGUUUCGGACCUUUCAGAAAAGGGUACAUUUCAAAGACUAUUAGCCGAAAAAACAAAGAAGAGGAAGUUUCUAAAACUUUUCAGCUAAUAUUUGCAAUAUUUCUUCUAGAAAAAUUAUUUAUUCACCUUGGCAAAUACAAUAUAUACUAAACUAGCGUAAUCUUCUGAUAUGCUUUUAUAUAGAAUGUAUAGUGUUUUAAUGUAUAGACUUAAAUUCUGAAGAGAAUAAAAAACACCCAUUUUGCUGUA